rnacentral:rRNA from 1 species
AGAGUUUGAUCCUGGCUCAGGAUGAACGCUAGCGGCAGGCCUAAUACAUGCAAGUCGGACGGUAGCCGACCCUUCGGGGCCGGCGAGAGUGGCGGACGGGUGCGUAACGCGUAUGCAACCAACCCCCCACAGCGGGACAGCCGGUGGAAACGCCGGGCAAUCCCGCAUGCCGCCGUGUCGGGGCAUCCCGGCAUGGCGAAAGGCUACGGCCGGUGGGGGACGGGCAUGCGUGCCAUUAGCUGGUUGGCGGGGCGACGGCCCACCAAGGCGACGAUGGCUAGGGGAUCUGAGAGGACGGUCCCCCACACUGGUACUGAGACACGGACCAGACUCCUGCGGGAGGCAGCAGUAAGGGAUAUUGGGCAAUGGGGGGAACCCUGACCCAGCCAUGCCGCGUGAGGGAAUGGGGCCCUACGGGUCGUGAACCUCUUUUGCCGGGGGACAACGGCGGCGUCGAGAACGCCGCGUGCGGGUACCCGGCGAAUAAGCGUCGGCUAACUCCGUGCCAGCAGCCGCGGUAAUACGGAGGACGCGAGCGUUAUCCGGAUUCAUUGGGUUUAAAGGGUGCGCAGGCGGCCUGCCAAGUCAGCGGUGAAAGCCCGGGGCCCAACCCCGGAAGUGCCGUUGAUACUGUCGGGCUGGAAUGCGGUCGAGGCGGGCGGAACGUGGCGUGUAGCGGUGAAAUGCGUAGAUAUGCCACAGAACGCCGAUAGCGGAGGCAGCUCGCCAGGCCUGCAUUGACGCUCGGGCACGAAAGCGUGGGGAUCGAACAGGAUUAGAUACCCUGGUAGUCCACGCCG